rnacentral:misc_RNA from 1 species
AGAGCCACGCAUGCUCAUUGUGUAUCGAAGCCACCGAAGCGGUGGUUUAGUGCUCGGCGUAAGAGGCUGCUCUUCAACAAGGUCGACACCUGCUGACAGAAAUGCCGGCGCGCAGCGGGCCAUCGUCGAACACAUUCGACCACAGCGCCCUUCCAAGCUCACAAGGGGCGCCAGGGCCCUACGAGUUCACCAGCACUGCUGGUAGGCAUGUUGCCGGCAAUUUACAAGGGUUUCGGUUCGUGGAUGAGGGCCACACCGUGAAGCAGUCGAAGCCGGUGGCGCGCACCGCAGCUAUGAGCCGUCGCCGCCGCGACAUCUGAGUGCUUGCAUGUGCACCUGCGCGGGCGCUCUGAUAAGACUGGGCUCGUGUUGCGCCUCUCCAGAGCGCUGAUUUAUGGCGGUGCCACUGCACCCAAAAUCUCACCGACGACUCCGAAGGAACGCUUUAAGGCGUGCGCUGAGUUUCACGCAGCAUUGUCGAGCAUGUCCGCUUCUUGUGGUAUCGUGCAUUCUCGGGGUACCCCUGCUUCGACCGCGAUGAUGCGCCACCACACCCCUGCUGUUGGGACGGCUAUUAUGCAUUCCUCAAUCAGCGCGCGAACUCGGCGGGUGUACUUCCCUCAUUGUGUGCAACUGAGUAUCGCUCUUCGGUGCGGCGAUGCUCAAAACCAUGAGCCGUGCAUGGCGCUCCCUUCUAGAUGCGAACGCUGACUUCGCUCGCCACACCGCACUGGACGCCCUCCUUGCCCUCUUUUGCCUUGUUCUUCACAUUUUCCUAUCUUUUGACGGAUGCACUUGCGCACGGCUUCCGCGGCCCGCCGGGUGCCGUUGGCGUAUCUUUCUCCACUGCGCAG